rnacentral:tRNA from 1 species
CCUUCGAUAGCUCAGUUGGUAGAGCGGUGGACUGUAGUUGGCCACGAUUGCACGAAAGUGAGAAGAGAAGACAUCCAUAGGUCGCUGGUUCAAAUCCGGCUCGAAGGA